rfam:Schistosoma haematobium scaffold846_1, whole genome shotgun sequence.
AUCCAGCAGAUGAGUCUCAAAUAAGACGAAACUCACUUUCUGGAU